rnacentral:rRNA from 1 species
AGCGAACGCUGGCGGCAGGCUUAACACAUGCAAGUCGAGCGGGCACCUUCGGGUGUCAGCGGCAGACGGGUGAGUAACACGUGGGAACGUGCCCUUUGGUUCGGAACAACUCCGGGAAACUGGAGCUAAUACCGGAUAAGCCCUUCGGGGAAAGAUUUAUCGCCAAAGGAUCGGCCCGCGUCUGAUUAGCUAGUUGGUAAGGUAAUGGCUUACCAAGGCGACGAUCUGUAGCCGACCUGAGAGGGUGGCGGUCACACUGACACUGAAUAACGGGUCAGACUCCUACGGGAGGCAGCAGUCGGGAAUUUUGGGCAAUGGGCGAAAGCCUGACCCAGCAACGCCGCGUGAAGGAUGAAGUC